ACUAUCUGUAGAUAUUUUCUUUUUUUAAAGGAAUUUAACCACCCACCCCUUCCUCCUGAAGGCUCCCAGAAUAAAAGGGACACUGAUAACAACAACAACAACAACAACAACAACAACAACAACAACAACAACAACAACAAGAUUUAUUUUAGAAUGGCAGAACCAGCAUAAAAUCAGAAUGAAAACCUAAAGGAUUUCUUUAAGGCCAUGCAUUUUGGAACACAAUACUUGGCUGGAGAAUUGCAUUGCAAAAUUUGGAGAUGUCUGAAUUUUGAAUGAUGGGUGGUAAAAGGUAAAGGUAAAGAACCCCUGGACGG